ACGUAGGGUGCAAGCGUUGUCCGGAAUUAUUGGGCGUAAAGAGCUUGUAGGCGGUUUGUCGCGUCUGCUGUGAAAUUUCGGGGCUCAACCCCGAACUUGCAGUGGGUACGGGCAGACUAGAGUGUGGUAGGGGAGACUGGAAUUCCUGGUGUAGCGGUGAAAUGCGCAGAUAUCAGGAGGAACACCGAUGGCGAAGGCAGGUCUCUGGGCCACUACUGACGCUGAGAAGCGAAAGCAUGGGGAGCGAACAGGAUUAGAUACCCUGGUAGUCCAUGCCGUAAACGUUGGGAACUAGGUGUGGGCCUCAUUCCACGAGGUCCGUGCCGCAGCUAACGCAUUAAGUUCCCCGCCUGGGGAGUACGGCCGCAAGGCUA
rnacentral:rRNA from 1 species